UGACAGAGGGUGCACUGCAAAGGAUGUGAAGU
rnacentral:piRNA from 1 species